GGGGAAGGGGGAGGGCGGCAAACACCUGAUCUUGAGCAAGGCACCGAGUGGUUCUGCUGAGUGACCUUGAGGAAAUCACUUCCCCUCUCUGGCCCGAGGCGUCCAGCCCCGAGGGUUGGGAAUUAGACUACCAAGUCUCCCCCCCCCUUCACCUCCCCAGCUAUAAGAGGAGGGUUAGGGAGCCUACUCGUUUUCACCUACAGGAAGAGGUACCUCGAAUGACCUAGAAGGUUCCGUUCGUUACCUCCACCCCACUUUUAAGACUCCUCACGUCUCGCUCUUUUUCCGCUCCAAUUCCGAACCCCUAGGGUGGGGGAGGGAAGAGCGGGCUGACGCCUAGGGCGGGGUCACCCAGACUCCCACCCGCAGUGGCCGGGGCGCGGCCUUAGGGUCGGAUUUUUUUCCCCCGGCGGUGUAAAUACUGACCAGGACCGUCUGCUAUUCUGCAGCUAGUAAAAAACCCUCCCCUACCUGAAGUCGCACUGGGAGAGCCGUGGCCCUGCGGAGCCGCCGGAGCCUUGGGGUCCUUUCCUGUGCCCCCACCCCCCGCCCCGAUCAUGCUUCAGCAGCCAGAGCUGAGAGGGGAGGGGAGCUGGCCCGGGUCAGGCGUCCCCGGGUGCGAUCUGCUGCCCCGACUUAACGUAUGGAACUGGGGUCUUAGUAUUGGGAUUUGGGGCGGGAGCCCGCGCUCAGAGGCGGUGGACAUGAAAAGCCUUGGUUGACACCCCUGUACCAGUUAGGAACCUUGACCCUGGGCAGUGGCUUAGACCCUGAGAAUUUCCCUGCGCCGACCUGCCAAAUACAGUUAGCUCCAUCACGCGUGAGGGCUGAGCUGUGGCCGACCUCCCUGACAGCUUUGUCGACCUAAUACGUCAUCUCACAGCCUGGCUGGCCUCAGACUUGGAAACUGCCUCAGUCUCCCAACUACCAGAAAUCAGAUAUGAACCACACUCAGCUGCUUCUCUUAGACUAUAGGAAGGAAGUUUUGUCUGAUUCCCUGGAGCCAUUUCAGCGCCAGGUGUGGUGGACAGCUCCAAGUGACCGGAAGAAAGCCAAGCUAGGGCUCUCAAGCCUCCUGCCGCACCUGCAAUCCAGUCUGACACAGGGAGGCGGCCAACUCCACUGCGGCUCACACAGCUGUGAAGUGAGCGCCUGCUUCUUCUAGGCAACCUGAUCUGUGCAAGGCCCUUGAUGUCUCCUUUUGAACCCUGGAAAGGGAAGAUCCUUUAAUCUGGGCCAUACCUCCUGCCGACAGCCUAUAUAAAAGACAUGGAAGAAGAAAGCUUCUCUCUUGGUCUGCCAUCUCUGGCAAAUCCAUCCCUUCACUGGCAUUAGAAUCUACUUCUGCAAGACUCUGGCAUAGACUGAAAACCAGCUGAGACAUCCAGCUUCAUACACUGAACAGCUAUCGGAUUACUGGACCUGCCAUUGGUAGACAGCCAUUGUUGGAUGAGCCUGAGAUGGAUCGCGGAUGGAAGGUGAGGAAGGCCCGGGGGUCCUGCCCUCAGGAGUGGAUGGAUGCUGUUCCAGUCUCCCGCUGCUUGUCUCGUUAUGUGGUUAUGCCUGCACAUGGACCUGCUGUGUGGUGCCAACUGCCACGAAGUCCCAGCACAGCUAAGUACAGACUGGUUCCGUGUUCUUAGUCUUCUAGAAUUGUGAAUUAAAUAAACCUUUUUUUUUUCC